rnacentral:misc_RNA from 1 species
ACUUGAAUGGCGGCGCCCAGUAGGAAGACGUGACAUGGUUAUUGUCAAAUUUGUUUUCUCGUUUUUCAAUAAUCUUAUGUGAAUCUGUAUAUUUCAUGCUUGAAAAUGAGUAAAAGAAACAGAACUCCGUUCACUUUGAAAUGUAAAGCCAAGGAAGCCCCCGCAUUAAAGAAGUAUCGAGCUGAUGUUCUGAAUUUUUCAAAGUCGACUGACGAUCCGGAAAAACAUAAUGCGUUUCUAAAGAAGGAUACGACAUUUUCAAGAAAACAAAAAAGAAAAGAAGAAAGAAAGCUUAAAAAAGCUCGAAGACACGCAUUCAGAUGUGGAAAACAGCUGCCAACCAUGCAAACCUGGAUGGAGAAGAAGGAAGAUACAUCAAAAUUCAACACAAAGAAGAAACCUUUGGAAAAAUUAAAAGAAAAGAAGAAGAAGCAGAGAGCCAAAUCAAAAGAAUCAAAAAAGCAUAAAGAAAAAGAUGUAAGAGAGAGACAACAGAAAAGAACAGCUGUUGGAUGACAACAGAAAGGAAGAUAGAAUGCUGAAACAGCUGGAGAAGAACCUUCGCCUCAACAAAAGGAAGAGCAAGACUCUUCCCCAGGCGUUUGUCAAUGAUGGACUGGACUUUCUGUUGGAUGUACUGGACAAACCUUCUGAAGAACUGGAAAAUCUGGAGGAUGAGGAGUAUGCCAGUGACGAAGAUACAGAAAUAAGAAAGAGAGGUGAAAACAAGACAGAUUCAGAUGAGGAAAUGGAAGAUGAAGAAGAGUAUAAUGAUGAUGAGAGUGAUGAAGACAUUGAGGAGGGAGAAGACUUUGAAUUUAGUGAUGAAGAUAUGGAAUCAGAUGUUGAAGAACAGCAUCCAAAAAUUGAUGUUAUAUCGGACAAAUCCAGCAAUUUGAAAUCAAUUCUUUCUAAAGCAAUCAGUGAAAUUAAAGCUGAAAAGAAACAAGUGACAUUUGAUAAAGUUACUGACAAAGGCAAGAAAAAAGACAAAGAAAGUAAGGAAUCAAAGAAAGUGAAGACGAAAGUGAAAAUUGAAGAGGAUAAAAUUGACGCCAGGGAAGAAGAUGAAGAUAUGGAUGAAAAUGUGGAUGAUGAUGAUUCAUUUGAAGAGGAGGAUGAAAAUGCUGACAUGUAUGAAGAAGAUGAGGAUGAUGUUGAAGAAGAGAAGGAUAAUGAUGAUAAUGAAGAUGAUGAUGAUGUGGAUGAAGAGGAUGUUGAAGUGGAGGGAGGUGAUGAAAUUGAUGAUGAACUGAAUAAAGAGACAGAGUUUAAAGAAGACAUCUAUGGACGACUCAGAGACAAGGUGGGAAACAUUGUGAAAAGUUCAGGACAGACAGGGAAAUACAUUCCUCCAGGGAAACGAGUUCAGAUCAGUGAUGAGAAGAAGAAAAUUCAGUUAGAGAGAUUACAGAAACAGCUAAAGGGACUAGUAAAUAGGGCAAGUGAGGCUAAUAUGUCCCAGAUUUGUGCUCAGAUAGAGGCUGUUUACCGUGGCAACAGCAGGGCAGAGGUCACCGAGGCUCUGUCGGCCAUUGUUAUUAAUGCUUGUGUGUCGGUUUCCAUGACACCAGAAAGGCUCGCCAUGGAGAUGAUGCUUCUUGUCACCGUCCUGCAUGGUAACAUCGGAACAGAAGUGGGAGCCAUGUUCCUUCAAACCUUGGCACAAAAAUACAAAUUAGUUUGUAACCAUGGAAACAGAUUGGAGGACAAAUCGAUGGACAAUGCUGUGAUAUUGUUUGCUUUCCUGUAUACUUUUAAGGUGAUUGACAGUACACUGAUAUUUGGAAUCAUUGAUGAUUUGGUGAAGUCGUUUCAAGAGAAAGAUAUCCAAAUUAUACUCCUUCUUCUGAAAAAUGUGGGGUUCUACUUGAGAAAGGAUAACCCCAAUGGCCUGAAGGACACGAUCCUUGAGAUCCAGUCUGCAGCCCAGGCCCUGGGGGGCGGGGACCAGUCCUCUCAUGUCAAGUUCAUGCUGGAAACUCUGAUGGCCAUCAAGAACAACAACAUGAGGAAGAUACCAAACUACGACCCAGAGCCACUGGAACAUCUGAAGAAGGUGGCCAGAGGAAUCCUGAGAGGAAGUACACUUGGAGAUGGUCAGUUACACAUCGGCCUGAUGGACCUGAUGAACGCUGAGGAAAGAGGGAGGUGGUGGCUGGUGGGGUCAGCGUGGGAGGGCCCCACAGAGGAGAAACAACCCGUCCAUGGCACAGUUGAGAUGGAGUCUGUAGUGGGUGAGGUCAGCACUCAGCUGUUAGAGUUGGCACGGCGCCAGAGAAUGAACACCGACGUCAGGAAGAACAUCUUCUGUGUCAUCAUGUCCAGUCAGGAUUACAUUGAUGGCUUUGACAAGCUGUUGAGGUUAGGGUUAAAAAGCCAGCAGGAAAGGGAGAUAGUUCACAUCAUCGUAGACCUUUGUCUACAGGAGAAGAAGUACAACCCCUUCUACAUGCUGUUACUGCAGAAGUUUUGUCUCUAUCACAGAAGGUUUCAGAUGUCGACCCAAUUUCUGAUGUGGGACAAGUUCAAGGACAUGAAGAAGCUGUCCCAGGUCCAGAGGGAGCACCUCAGCACACUGUUAUCUCAGCUCCUCUCCUCCAAAGCCAUGUCUCUCUCCGUCCUCAAGGUGGUUGAGUUUGGUACAUUGGAUGUUCACAUGCUCCGAUUCCUGAAGCACCUGAUGCAGAGUGUUCUGUUGGAUUAUCCAGAAGACGUGACCAAAGCAAUGUUUGAGAGGAUUGCCCCUCUCACCAAACUACAGCAUUUACACGAAGGACUCAAGUUAUUUAUGCAGCAUUUCUUACUCAAGAAAAAAGCCAAAGAUGUGGCAGAUAAUCCGCUUUUAAAAGAACGAAUUGCUAUAGCAGACAAAAUUUUAUCAGCGAGUAAAUCUCGCUCUCAUUCUGAAUUUGAUGACUGAUUAUUUUUUUUUAGGAAAAUAAAAAAAUAAACAUACAUUUGUACAUGUAUAACC